rnacentral:rRNA from 1 species
AGUGAACGCUGGCGGUAGGCCUAACACAUGCAAGUCGAACGGCAGCACAGGAGAGCUUGCUCUCUGGGUGGCGAGUGGCGGACGGGUGAGGAAUACAUCGGAAUCUACUCUGUCGUGGGGGAUAACGUAGGGAAACUUACGCUAAUACCGCAUACGACCUACGGGUGAAAGCAGGGGAUCUUCGGACCUUGCGCGAGUGAAUGAGCCGAUGUCGGAUUAGCUAGUUGGCGGGGUAAAGGCCCACCAAGGCGACGAUCCGUAGCUGGUCUGAGAGGAUGAUCAGCCACACUGGAACUUGGACACGGUCCAGACUCCUACGGGAGGCAGCAGUGGGGAAUAUUGGACAAUGGGCGCAAGCCUGAUCCAGCCAUACCGCGUGGGUGAAGAAGGCCUUCGGGUUGUAAAGCCCUUUUGUUGGGAAAGAAAUCCAGCUGGCUAAUACCCGGUUGGGAUGACGGUACCCAAAGAAUAAGCACCGGCUAACUUCAUGCCAGCCGCCGCCGUAA